ACCAAAGGGGCCACAUGCUGACCUGACAGCUCAGGGGAGGCCUGCAUGGCAGGCUUGCAAACUCAGAGACCUGAAGUCACCACAAGGAUGGUCUGACAUUAAACUGUAACUAAAAGCAGUCCUGGCGGGCAGUUACGUCCUAGGCCUGCAUCUUCACUGACAAGGUUUCAAUGGUUUUUACGUUAACAUUACUUGGCGUAGUCACAGCAGGAUUCCAAAGAAGCUCACUAGCUAGGAUCCAGCAAAGGGCCCAUUGAGCCUGCAGGUUCUCCGCCCAUUGGGUGAACUUGGGGAUUUUGGUUUCCUCUUCCCUUGUUUAUGAAUAUGGGGACAAAGAUCACAGGGG